ACCCAGAAGACAGGAUUUGAAUUCAAAAUAACCUUACCAAAUUGGAGAGCUGGGCCAAAACUAACAAGAUGAAUUUCAACAAGAAAAAAUGUAGGAUACUACACUUUUCGACUGCAUCAAAAGGCAUAUAUUGCCUAGAAAGGUCAAGGCAAAAAGACUCCACCAUCUGAUG
rnacentral:lncRNA from 1 species